rnacentral:rRNA from 1 species
UCGCUCCUACCGAUUGAGCGAUCCGGUGAAUUAUUUGGAGUGCUGACAAUACCAGUCUUGGUUUUUUGUCGGUGCGAAAUUUUGUGAACCUUAUCGCUUAGAGGAAGGAA